UACGUAGGGACCGAGCGUUGUCCGGAUUCAUUGGGCGUAAAGAGCUCGUAGGCGGCUGCUCAAGUCGAAUGUGAAAACUCGAGGCUCAACCUCGAGCCUGCAUUCGAUACUGGGCGGCUAGAGUCUGGUAGGGGGAUCUGGAAUUCCUGGUGUAGCGGUGGAAUGCGCAGAUAUCAGGAGGAACACCGGUGGCGAAGGCGGGUCUCUGGGCAACUACUGACGCUGAGGAGCGAAAGCGUGGGGAGCGAACAGG
rnacentral:rRNA from 1 species